GAUGAACGCUAGCGGGAGGCUUAAUACAUGCAAGUCGAGCGGCAAGUUUUGAUAGCAAUAUUGGAACCUAGAGCGGCGCACGGGUGAGUAACGCGUACAUAACCUGCCCUAUACAGGAGGAUAGCCUUGGGAAACUGAGAUUAAUACUCCAUGGUAUUAUUUGAUUGCAUAAUUAGAUAAUUAAAGAUGAGUCGGUAUAGGAUGGAUGUGCGUCUGAUUAGCUAGUUGGUAGGGUAACGGCCUACCAAGGCGAUGAUCAGUAGGGGGCGUGAGAGCGUGGACCCCCACACGGGUACUGAGACACGGACCCGACUCCUACGGGAGGCAGCAGUAAGGAAUAUUGGUCAAUGGAGGAAACUCUGAACCAGCCAUCCGCGUGAAGGAUGAAGGGGCUCUGCCUUGUAAACUUCUUUGUCUGGGCGAAAAGCCUGAUUUAUCAGGAACUGACGGUACCAGAAGAAUAAGCACCGGC
rnacentral:rRNA from 1 species